CCUACGGGGGGCAGCAGUGGGGAAUAUUGGACAAUGGGGGGAACCCUGAUCCAGCCAUGCCGCGUGUGUGAAGAAGGCCCUCGGGUUGUAAAGCACUUUCAGUGAGGAAGAACGCCUGGUGGUUAAUACCCAUCAGGAAAGACAUCACUCACAGAAGAAGCACCGGCUAACUCCGUGCCAGCAGCCGCGGUAAUACGGAGGGUGCGAGCGUUAAUCGGAAUUACUGGGCGUAAAGCGCGCGUAGGUGGCUUGAUAAGCCGGUUGUGAAAGCCCCGGGCUCAACCUGGGAACGGCAUCCGGAACUGUCAAGCUAGAGUGCAGGAGAGGAAGGUAGAAUUCCCGGUGUAGCGGUGAAAUGCGUAGAGGUCGGGAGGAAUACCAGUGGCGAAGGCGGCCUUCUGGACUGACACUGACACUGAGGUGCGAAGCGUGGGUAGCAAACAGGAUUAGAUACCCCUGUAGUC
rnacentral:rRNA from 1 species